GAUCCUGGCUCAGGAUGAACGCUGGCGGCGUGCCUAACACAUGCAAGUCGAACGGACUUAACAUGAAACCUAGUGAUUGUUAAGCUAGUGGCGGACGGGUGAGUAACGCGUGGAUAACCUGCCGUAUGCAGGGGGAUAACAGUUGGAAACAGCUGCUAAUACCGCAUAAGCGCACAGUGCCGCAUGGCACAGUGCGAAAAGAUUUAUCGGCAUACGAUGAAUCCGCGUCCGAUUAGCCAGUUGGCGGGGUAACGGCCCACCAAAGCGACGAUCGGUAGCCGGCCUGAGAGGGCGGACGGCCACAUUGGGACUGAGACACGGCCCAAACUCCUACGGGAGGCAGCAGUGGGGAAUAUUGCACAAUGGGGGAAACCCUGAUGCAGCGACGCCGCGUGAGUGAAGAAGUAUCUCGGUACGUAAAGCUCUAUCAGCAGGAAAGAAAAUGACGGUACCUGACUAAGAAGCCCCGGCUAACUACGUGCCAGCAGCCGCGGUAAUACGUAGGGGGCAAGCGUUAUCCGGAUUUACUGGGUGUAAAGGGAGCGUAGACGGCGCUGCAAGUCCGGAGUGAAAGCCCAUGGCUUAACCAUGGUACUGCUCUGGAAACUGUANAGCUUGANUGCGGNAGGGGCAGGCGGAAUUCCUAGUGUAGCGGUGNAAUGCGUAGAUAUUANGAGGAACACCGGCGGCGAAAGCGGCC
rnacentral:rRNA from 1 species